rnacentral:rRNA from 1 species
AGAGUUUGAUCAUGGCUCAGGAUGAACGCUAGCGGCAGGCCUAAUACAUGCAAGUCGAACGGGUUUGAGUAGCAAUACUCAAAUCAGUGGCGCACGGGUGCGUAACGCGUAUGCAACCUACCUUAAACUGGGGGAUAGCCUUCCGAAAGGGAGAUUAAUACCGCAUAAUACUAUUUGAUGGCAUCUGAAGAUAGUUAAAGAUUUAUUGGUUUAAGAUGGGCAUGCGUGCCAUUAGCUAGUUGGUAGUGUAACGGACUACCAAGGCUACGAUGGCUAGGGGUUCUGAGAGGAUGAUCCCCCACACUGGCACUGAGAUACGGGCCAGACUCCUACGGGAGGCAGCAGUAGGGAAUAUUGGGCAAUGGACGAAAGUCUGACCCAGCCAUGCCGCGUGCAGGAAGAAGGCCUUCUGGGUUGUAAACUGCUUUUAUCUGGGAAGAAAACACCUAUGCGUAGGGAACUGACGGUACCAGAUGAAUAAGCACCGGCUAACUCCGUGCCAGCAGCCGCGGUAAUACGGAGGGUGCAAGCGUUGUCCGGAUUUAUUGGGUUUAAAGGGUGCGUAGGCGGCCCGAUAAGUCAGUGGUGAAAGCCUCCAGCUCAACUGGAGAACUGCCAUUGAUACUGUCGGGCUUGAGUACAGACGAGGUUGGCGGAAUUGAUUGUGUAGCGGUGAAAUGCAUAGAUACAAUCAAGAACACCGAUUGCGUAGGCAGCUAACUAGGCUGUAACUGACGCUGAGGCACGAAAGCGUGGGGAGCGAACAGGAUUAGAUACCCCGGUAGUCC